CACGUAGUUAGCCGUGGCUUUCUGGUUAGAUACCGUCAGGGGAUGAGCAGUUGCUCUCAUCCUUGUUCUUCUCUAACAACAGAGUUUUACGAUCCGAAAACCUUCUUCACUCACGCGGCAUUGCUCCGUCAGACUUUCGUCCAUUGCGGAAGAUUCCCUACUGCUGCCUCCCGUAGGAGUCUGGGCCGUGUCUCAGUCCCAGUGUGGCCGAUCACCCUCUCAGGUCGGCUACGUAUCAUCGCCUUGGUGAGCCAUUACCUCACCAACUAGCUAAUACGCCGCGGGUCCAUCCAUAAGCGGUAGCCGAAGCCACCUUUUUCCAUCUGUCAGGAGACAAUUGGAAAUAUGCGGUAUUAGCAUCCGUUUCCGGAUGUUAUCCCCCUCUUAUGGGCAGGUUACCCACGUGUUACUCACCCGUCCGCCACUCUUUUGUUCGAUGGGUGCAAGCACCCGGUGAAACAAAGCGUUCGACUUGCAUGUAUUAGGCAUGCCGCAGCGUCGUCC
rnacentral:rRNA from 1 species